UACGGAGGGGGCAAGCGUUUAUUCGGAAUUAUUGGGCGUAAAGGGCGCGUAGGCGGCUUGGUAAGUCAAAGGUGAAAUCCCUCGGCUCAACUGAGGAAUUGCCUUUGAAACUGCCAGGCUUGAGGCCGGGAGGGGGUAGCGGAAUUCCCAGUGUAGCGGUGAAAUGCGUAGAUACUGGGAGGAACACCAGUGGCGAAGGCGGCUACCUGGACCGGAACUGACGCUGAUGCGCGAAAGCGUGGGGAGCAAACAGG
rnacentral:rRNA from 1 species